GGGCCUGCCCAGUGAUAUUUCAACGGCCGCGGUACUCUGACCGUGCAAAGGUAGCAUAAUCAUUUGCCCUAUAAUUAAGGGCUAGUAUGAACGGUCUAACAAGAAUGGAACUGUCUCUUUUAAAAUCCUUAGAAUUUGGUUUUUAGGUGAAGAAACCUAAAUUAUAUUGAUAGACAAGAAGACCCUAUCGAGCUUUAAAACAAUUAGUUAAACAAAUAGAUAACACUAACUUUAGCUAAAAAUUUUGGUUGGGGCGACUAAGGAACAAACAAAGCUUCCUUAAUAAAUUCUACACUAAUAAGUAAUGAUCCAAAAUAUUUGAUUAAUAAAAUUAGUUACCGUAGGGAUAACAGCAUAAUCUUCUUCAAGAGUUCUUAUCGAAAAGAAUGUUUGUGACCUCGAUGUUGGACUAGGAUAUCCAAAAGAUGCAGAAGUCUUUAAAGGUUGGUCUGUUCGACCAAUAAAAUCCUACGUGAUCUAUCU
rnacentral:rRNA from 1 species